AGUGGUAUGGUUCAAGUGGUAAAGUACCUGCCUGGCAAGCACACAGCCUUGAGUUCAAAUCCCAGUACUUCUA
rnacentral:tRNA from 1 species